AUUCAGUCUGUGUGUUAUCUCCUAUAGGUUCUGACUCCAGGAGGAGAAGUCCCCCCGAGAGAUGUCCCCGUCCUCUGUAUUCCCAGGACUGUCCAGAGGAGAAGCUCCCAGAGAACCAUCAGGAUGAAAAUCUGAUGGAUGUUAAGGUUGAGGUUAAAGAUGAAGAAGAAGAGGAGACGGAUUUAUGGGGCGAUCAGCAGGAUGGACUCAUAGAAGGAAAUCCCCCCGAGAGAUGUCCCUGUCCUCUGUAUUCCCAGGACUGUCCAGAGGAGAAGCUCCCAGAGAACCAUCAGGUAGAUGGAGCUGAAGUCUCCACAGAAUCUGACCAGAAAGAGAUUGA